rnacentral:lncRNA from 1 species
UUACAAGAUUAAGUUAUCAUUGAAAUAUUAAAUAAGCUGAAGCGCCAUUUUCUUGCAAAUAAAUGUCAAAGAUGCUAACAGUUUCAUAAAUCAGUAAAUCCUGUCUACUUGCCCUUUGUAUGUGGUCUUGAUAAUAGAGCCAAGAUGGAUUUUCAAAUACAAGUAGUUAGUACAUUAAUCCAGACAUUCAAAAUAAUAGGGAGGUCAGAGAUUGGAUUGUUUCUGGAGCAACCAAAUUUGCAGCUGCCACAAAACUAGAUAAACAGCCUCCACUGAAAUUAUUUUUUCAAUCUCAUAAACCCCAGGAAUUACAUACAGAAUGGAUUGGAAAUGAGCAUCUUGUGCUAAUACAAAGACUUUUCCUCCAUCAAUUGCUGAUUUUUUAAAAAGAUAACUUGGUAUUGCUUCUGAAGAUGUAAAUGAAAAACUCUAAUUGCCCUUGGUCUUUUAAGGUGGAUUGUUGAACCAAGAGGCUGUAUGGCAUAUCCAGAGAUCUAUUUUCUAGGUUUAAAUGAAUGGAGGUAGUUUUUGCCUGCAGCUAAAAAAAAAAAGAGAAAAAUGUUGAAGCCUUGCUGACUGUUUGUCCAGGGCAUCCUGGGUUAGUAUUUCACAAUAGUCAAACAUUUUGGCAUAGAAGGGGAAAAAAGCAUUUUAAACUUAA